GAUGAACGCUGACAGAAUGCUUAACACAUGCAAGUCGAUGGGGAAGUGGUGCUUGCACCAUGGUAACCAUGGCGGACGGGUGAGUAACGCGUAAGGAACUUACCUGCGGGACCGGGAUAACAGCAGGAAACUGCUGACAAGACCGGAUAAGGUCAUUAAGCUGCAUAGCUUAGUGAUGAAAGGAGACGCCUGCGGAGAGCCUUGCGUCCUAUUAGCUAGUUGGAGGGGUAACGGCCCACCAAGGCGAAGAUAGGUAGCCGGCCUGAGAGGGUGGACGGCCACAAGGGGACUGAGAUACGGACCUUACUCCUACGGGAGGCAGCAGUGGGGAAUAUUGGACAAUGAGGGCAACCCUGAUCCAGCAAUUCUGUGUGCACGAAGACGGUUUUCGGAUUGUAAAGUGCUUUCAGCAGGGAAGAAGGAAGUGACGGUACCUGCAGAAGAAGCGACGGCUAAAUACGUG
rnacentral:rRNA from 1 species